UACGGAGGGUGCAAGCGUUAUCCGGAUUUACUGGGUUUAAAGGGUGCGCAGGCGGAUAUGUAAGUCAGUGGUGAAAUCUCUAGGCUUAACCUGGAAAUUGCCGUUGAUACUAUAUAUCUUGAAUGUUGUGGAGGUAAGCAGAAUAUGUCAUGUAGCGGUGAAAUGCUUAGAGAUGACAUAGAAUACCUAUUGCGAAGGCAGCUUACUACGCAGAUAUUGACGCUCAUGCACGAAAGCGUGGGGAUCAAACAGG
rnacentral:rRNA from 1 species